UUUUUUUUUUUUUUUUCUCCCCUCCGCAGACGAACGCUGGCGGCGUGCCUAAUACAUGCAAGUCGAACGAACUCUGGUAUUGAUUGGUGCUUGCAUCAUGAUUUACAUUUGAGUGAGUGGCGAACUGGUGAGUAACACGUGGGAAACCUGCCCAGAAGCGGGGGAUAACACCUGGAAACAGAUGCUAAUACCGCAUAACAACUUGGACCGCAUGGUCCGAGUUUGAAAGAUGGCUUCGGCUAUCACUUUUGGAUGGUCCCGCGGCGUAUUAGCUAGAUGGUGGGGUAACGGCUCACCAUGGCAAUGAUACGUAGCCGACCUGAGAGGGUAAUCGGCCACAUUGGGACUGAGACACGGCCCAAACUCCUACGGGAGGCAGCAGUAGGGAAUCUUCCACAAUGGACGAAAGUCUGAUGGAGCAACGCCGCGUGAGUGAAGAAGGGUUUCGGCUCGUAAAACUCUGUUGUUAAAGAAGAACAUAUCUGAGAGUAACUGUUCAGGUAUUGACGGUAUUUAACCAGAAAGCCACGGCUAACUACGUGCCAGCAGCCGCGGUAAUACGUAGGUGGCAAGCGUUGUCCGGAUUUAUUGGGCGUAAAGCGAGCGCAGGCGGUUUUUUAAGUCUGAUGUGAAAGCCUUCGGCUCAACCGAAGAAGUGCAUCGGAAACUGGGAAACUUGAGUGCAGAAGAGGACAGUGGAACUCCAUGUGUAGCGGUGAAAUGCGUAGAUAUAUGGAAGAACACCAGUGGCGAAGGCGGCUGUCUGGUCUGUAACUGACGCUGAGGCUCGAAAGUAUGGGUAGCAAACAGGAUUAGAUACCCUGGUAGUCCAUACCGUAAACGAUGAAUGCUAAGUGUUGGAGGGUUUCCGCCCUUCAGUGCUGCAGCUAACGCAUUAAGCAUUCCGCCUGGGGAGUACGGCCGCAAGGCUGAAACUCAAAGGAAUUGACGGGGGCCCGCACAAGCGGUGGAGCAUGUGGUUUAAUUCGAAGCUACGCGAAGAACCUUACCAGGUCUUGACAUACUAUGCAAAUCUAAGAGAUUAGACGUUCCCUUCGGGGACAUGGAUACAGGUGGUGCAUGGUUGUCGUCAGCUCGUGUCGUGAGAUGUUGGGUUAAGUCCCGCAACGAGCGCAACCCUUAUUAUCAGUUGCCAGCAUUAAGUUGGGCACUCUGGUGAGACUGCCGGUGACAAACCGGAGGAAGGUGGGGAUGACGUCAAAUCAUCAUGCCCCUUAUGACCUGGGCUACACACGUGCUACAAUGGAUGGUACAACGAGUUGCGAACUCGCGAGAGUAAGCUAAUCUCUUAAAGCCAUUCUCAGUUCGGAUUGUAGGCUGCAACUCGCCUACAUGAAGUCGGAAUCGCUAGUAAUCGCGGAUCAGCAUGCCGCGGUGAAUACGUUCCCGGGCCUUGUACACACCGCCCGUCACACCAUGAGAGUUUGUAACACCCAAAGUCGGUGGGGUAACCUUUUAGGAACCAGCCGCCUAAGGUGGGACAGAUGAUUAGGGUGAAGUCGUAAGGGGAAACCCCCCAAA
rnacentral:rRNA from 2 species